rnacentral:rRNA from 1 species
GACGAACGCUGGCGGCGUGCUUAACACAUGCAAGUCGAACGGAAAGGCCUCUUUCGGGGGGUACUCGAGUGGCGAACGGGUGAGUAACACGUGAGUAACCUGCCCUUGACUUUGGGAUAACUUCAGGAAACUGGGGCUAAUACCGGAUAGGAGCUCCUGCUGCAUGGUGGGGGUUGGAAAGUUUCGGCGGUUGGGGAUGGACUCGCGGCUUAUCAGCUUGUUGGUGGGGUAGUGGCUUACCAAGGCUUUGACGGGUAGCCGGCCUGAGAGGGUGACCGGCCACAUUGGGACUGAGAUACGGCCCAGACUCCGACGGGAGGCAGCAGUGGGGAAUAUUGCACAAUGGGUGAAAGCCUGAUGCAGCAACGCCGUGUGCGGGAUGACGGCCUUCGGGUUGUAAACCGCUUUCGCUCAUGACGAAGCUUUGUGUGACGGUAGUGGGUAAAGAAGCACCGGCUAACUACGUG